rnacentral:rRNA from 1 species
UCGAGCGGAUGAGUGGAGCUUGCUCCAUGAUUCAGCGGCGGACGGGUGAGUAAUGCCUAGGAAUCUGCCCGGUAGUGGGGGAUAACGUUCCGAAAGGAACGCUAAUACCGCAUACGUCCUACGGGAGAAAGCAGGGGACCUUCGGGCCUUGCGCUAUCGGAUGAGCCUAGGUCGGAUUAGCUAGUUGGUGAGGUAAUGGCUCACCAAGGCGACGAUCCGUAACUGGUCUGAGAGGAUGAUCAGUCACACUGGAACUGAGACACGGUCCAGACUCCUACGGGAGGCAGCAGUGGGGAAUAUUGGACAAUGGGCGAAAGCCUGAUCCAGCCAUGCCGCGUGUGUGAAGAAGGUCUUCGGAUUGUAAAGCACUUUAAGUUGGGAGGAAGGGUUGUACGUUAAUACCGUGCAAUUUUGACGUUACCGACAGAAUAAGCACCGGCUAACUUCGUGCCAGCAGCCGCGGUAAUACGAAGGGUGCAAGCGUUAAUCGGAAUUACUGGGCGUAAAGCGCGCGUAGGUGGUUCGUUAAGUUGGAUGUGAAAGCCCCGGGCUCAACCUGGGAACUGCAUCCAAAACUGGCGAGCUAGAGUACGGUAGAGGGUGGUGGAAUUUCCUGUGU